rnacentral:rRNA from 1 species
UGGGGAAUUUUGGACAAUGGGCGAAAGCCUGAUCCAGCAAUGCCGCGUGUGUGAAGAAGGCCUUCGGGUUGUAAAGCACUUUUGUCCGGAAAGAAAUCCUUGGCUCUAAUACAGUCGGGGGAUGACGGUACCGGAAGAAUAAGCACCGGCUAACUACGUGCCAGCAGCCGCGGUAAUACGUAGGGUGCAAGCGUUAAUCGGAAUUACUGGGCGUAAAGCGUGCGCAGGCGGUUUGCUAAGACCGAUGUGAAAUCCCCGGGCUCAACCUGGGAACUGCAUUGGUGACUGGCAGGCUAGAGUAUGGCAGAGGGGGUGAGAAUUCCACGUGUAGCAGUGAAAUGCGUAGAGAUGUGGAGGAAUACCGAUGGCGAAGGCAGCCCCCUGGCCAAGUACUGACGCUCAUGCACGAAAGCGUGGGGAGCAAACAGGAUUAGAUACCCUGGUAGUCCACGCCCUAAACGAUGUCAACUAGUUGUUGGGGAUUCAUUUCCUUAGUAACGUAGCUAACGCGUGAAGUUGACCGCCUGGGGAGUACGGUCGCAAGAUUAAAACUUAAAUGAAUUGACGGGGU